AGUGAACGCUGGCGGUAGGCCUAACACAUGCAAGUCGAACGGCAGCACAGAGGAGCUUGCUCCUUGGGUGGCGAGUGGCGGACGGGUGAGGAAUACAUCGGAAUCUACUCUGUCGUGGGGGAUAACGUAGGGAAACUUACGCUAAUACCGCAUACGACCUACGGGUGAAAGCAGGGGACCUUCGGGCCUUGCGCGAUUGAAUGAGCCGAUGUCGGAUUAGCUAGUUGGCGGGGUAAAGGCCCACCAAGGCGACGAUCCGUAGCUGGUCUGAGAGGAUGAGCAGCCAGACGGGAACGGAGACACGGUCCAGACUCCGACGAGAGGCAGCAGUGGGGAAUAUUGGACAAUGGGCGCAAGCCUGAUCCAGCCAUACCGCGUGGGUGAAGAAGGCCUUCGGGUUGUAAAGCCCUUUUGUUGGGAAAGAAAUCCAGCUGGCUAAUACCCGGUUGGGAUGACGGUACCCAAAGAAUAAGCACCGGCUAACUUCGUGCCAGCCGCCGCCGUAA
rnacentral:rRNA from 1 species